GAGGCAGGGUGGAGUCUAUUUCAGGUUUUUUGUUUUUCCUAGCCUGGGAGGUUAGGUUUGUAUGUUAGAAUGCAAACAUAUCCUAUAAUCAUUGCAACGAGAAGGAACCAGUCAUGGCAAAAAUCCAGUGAUCUAAUGUCAGUUAGUUGCAAUGGCUAAUGCUAACUACAUGCAGAUAUCCAGAAGAUUAAAGCAAAAGAAAAACAUCUGAAGAUCCAUCCAUCUCAGCAUGCGUCUCUGCAUACCUGUCUGACAUCUGAAACUGGACGAGGGAACACCACGUUAAGCUCAACUUGGCAAAAACAGAGCUUCUUGUCAUUCUUGCUUGCUCGUCAAUCAACCACAACCUCACCGUACAGCUCGGCUCAACCACACUCAUGCCAACCAGGACAGACAGAAACCUUGGGGUGACUUUCGAUGACCACUUCUCCUUUACAACUGCACAGAUCUGUAAAUCAGACUCUAUGUCACCGAACAGGCUACAGAGCUACGAGUCCAGGCUCUUGUUAUCUCAAACUGGACUAUUAAUGCACUACUCUCGGGCCUUCCAGCCAGCUCCAUCAAACCCCUUCAGAUGAUUCAGAAUGCAGCACCACAGCUUGUUUUCAACCAGGCCAAAAGAACCCUAUUCACAUCCCUCUUCAUCUCCCUCCACUGGCUUCCUGUAGCAAAUUCAAAGCCUUGAUGCUCACCUACAAGACCUUGUCUGGAACAGCACCCUCCUACCUCAACACUCUCCUUGAAAAUUAUGUUCCCUCAUGGAACCUGCAAUCAGUUAACGACUGACACCUGGUAGUGCCCUACUCAGCAAGGCACGAGGUCCCUUGCCAGAACCUUCAAAAUAACUCCCCUGCCUCCCAACUACAAAAAUAAAAUAAAAAACAUUCUACACUUACACUGGCUCUUACACACCUGCCCUGCAUACUUUGCGUCUUAGUUAAAAAUCUUGUAUUGUAGCACUACUUGUAUUGUUCUCUGAUUGACAUAUUGCUUUACUUGUACUUCCUCAUUUGUAAGUUGCUUUGGAUAAAAGCAUCUGCUAAAUGAAUAAAUGCAAACGUAAAUAAAAAUGUAAAUGUAUAUGGCCAAAGGUUUGUGGACACCAGACCAUCACACCAAUAUGCUUUUUGAACAUUCCAUUCCAAAUUUAUUCCCCAUUUGCUGUUAUAAUACACUCUUUUGGGAAGGCUUUCCAUUAUAUUUUGGAGAGUGGCUCGAGUGCAACCUUGGAAAACCAUGUAUUCAUGGAGUUUUAUGGAGCAUUGUGCAAAGAGGCAUUGUCAUGCUGGAACAGGUUUGGGCCCCUUAGUUUCAUUCUAUACAAUUGUGUGCUUCCAACUUUGUGGCAACAGUUUUGGGGAAGACCCACAUA